rnacentral:lncRNA from 1 species
GUCGGGCAGAUUGUUUGGACGUUUAAAACGGUUACGAGGGGUCCGUGUAUACAUGCUCUAAGUUUUAAGACACAAUCGAGCUAUGCGUUUACUAGCUGUGUACCUGCAAAUGGCACGAAAAUAUAUAAACAUUCAAUAUCUAUGUCGAGAAGAUGUGUACAUUUUGUAAUGCCAACUCGACUGAAGGAUUGAUAGCGUAGCAUAGCAGAAGUAAUCACGUAAUUCAUCAUCGGGUCGAUCUGGUAAGCCCUUGCCCGGUUGCCCCGUUUCAGCGCGCACACUCGUCG